ACUGCUCUGGGGAAAAAAAAAAUCAGAAAAAGUUGGAAAUGGAAGGCCCUGCGCGGGGUGUGUUUGUGCCCUUUUGUGUACUUACUAGAAUGUGGUGGCCGUCUGGGGACUUGCCCGCAUACAGCAAAGUGGCUAAGGUAAGUCGCACCGAGGCCUGGAAGACACAUCAACUCAACAUCAAAUCACGAUGACUCGACAUAAAAAUAAAAAAAAACUUAAAAAUUAAGUGUGACGUCAAUGAAUCAGACAGACAGAACAUUUACAGUUGAAUAAAUUACUAUUGCGGUUCUUGGGG